rnacentral:rRNA from 1 species
GAUGAACGCUGGCGGCGUGCCUAAUACAUGCAAGUCGUGCGGAAAGGCCCUUCGGGGUACUCGAGCGGCGGACGGCAGAGUAACGCGUAGGAACAUACCCCAAAGUGAGGGAUAACUGCUCGAAAGAGUAGCUAAUACCGCAUGUGAUCUUCGGAUUAAAGCUUUAUGCGCUUUGGGAAUGGCCUGCGUUCGAUUAGCUAGUUGGUGAGGUAAUGGCUCACCAAGGCUACGAUCGAUAACUGGUCUGAGAGGAUGAUCAGUCUGACUGGAACUGAGACACGGUCCAGACUCCUACGGGAGGCAGCAGUAGGGAAUUUUCCACAAUGGACGAAAGUCUGAUGGAGCAACGCCGCGUGCAGGAUGAAGGCCCUCGGGUCGUAAACUGCUUUUAUGUGCGAAGAAUAUGACGGUAACACAUGAAUAAGGGUCGGCUAACUACGUG